rnacentral:rRNA from 1 species
AACGUAGGAGACAAACGUUAUCCGGAGUUACUGGGCGUAAAGGGCGUGUAGGCGGUCUGUUAAGUCUGGCGUGAAAGCUCUCGGCUAAACCGGGAGAGGUCGUUGGAUACUGGCAGACUAGAGGACGGUAGAGGCGUGUGGAAUUCCGGGUGUAGUGGUGAAAUGCGUAGAGAUCCGGAGGAACACCAGUGGCGAAGGCGGCAUCCUGGACCAUAACUGACGCUGAGGCGCGAAAGCUAGGGGAGCAAACGGG